rnacentral:rRNA from 1 species
GUGAAUCAUCGAAUCUUUGAACGCACCUUGCGCCCCUUGGUAUUCCGAGGAGCAUGCCUGUUUGAGUGUCACGUUAAUACCUCACCCCCCCUUCGGUCACCUGAAGGGGCGCGGUGGACUUGGACCGUGCCGUGGUUGGCUCGUUCUGAAAUGCAUGGGCUCUUCUCGAGGAUUGCCUCCUUGGUGUGAUAGUCAUCUACGCCUCUGGAGUUAAGCAAGCCUCUGGGGCCUUACCGUCCUCGGACAAUGUCAAUUUUGACCUUUGACCUCAAAUCAGGUAGGACUACCCGCUGAACUUAAGCAUAUCAAUAAGGCGAGG